GACAACGGAUGCAGUGACCUCACACGACUACUACAAGAGCUCUAUAGCCUUCGGUCUAGAUGGCACCUACUGGCGCACCUUGAGGCGAAUAUGUACCUCAGAGCUCUUUUCUAACAAGAGGAUCAAAGAAACCAUAAUGGUCAGGCAAAAAAGUGUCGAUGAACUAAUCUUGUGGAUCGAAAAGGAAGCACAAAAGGGAUCUACUGGAAUUGUGGUUAGACAAUUUGUGUACCCAGCAUUGUUGAACAUGAUAGGGAAUCUCACCCUUUCGCGGAACCUCAUGGAUCCACAGUCCAAAAUUUCCUCUGAGUUUUGCUCUGCUGUGGAUGGUUUCAAUCAGUGCCUGGGCAGUCCCAAUAUAUCCGACUUCUUGCCCUGGCUAAAGAGAUUUGACCUGCAAGGAAUAAGGAGGAAAAUGGAUCAGGAUUUGGGGAAAGCCCUGGAGAUUAUUUCAGUAUUUGUGAAGGAACGCCAGGAGAAGAGGGAACAACAAGCAGUAUCAUCAGAGCAGCAGGACUUUUGGAUGUGUUGUUGGAUUACAGGGGCAGUGGAAAUGAUGAAGCGGCUAAGUUAUCAGAUUCCCAAGUCACAAUAUGCCUUCUGGUAAGUAACACGAUUAAUAACAAAGGGCCAACAGCUGACUUGUUUUCCGCUAAUAUUAAUGUUUGGUAAUUAGCGGAUUGAAACAAAGGUUUGAAUCCAAAACACUAUUUUGAGAAGUUUUUUGGGUUUAAGGUUUUGGUUUUUAUCAGAAAAAGCUAAUCAAUCAGCUAUUUACCAAACAAGUUUACGAGAAACAGUUAAUUCAAUCCGCUAGUCAAAACAUCUAAUUCAAUCCGCUAACAGUUAACCGCUGAUUCUCAAGCAGAGCCUAUGUGUUUAAUUAAGAACGGGGGAGUCUUAGAUUUUGAGUCAUGUGGGGCUGUUUAAGCAUGUUAUCCACAGGCGUAAACUAAGCAGAUAUGAUUUGUGCAGGAAAUGUUUAUUGGCGGAACAGACACAACAAGCAGCACAACUGAGUGGGCCUUGAGCGAGCUCUUACAAAACGAUGAGCAAAUGAAGAGGGUUAAAGCUGAGCUCGCCAGAGUUCUUGGAACAAAAAAAAAUCUGGAAGACAGUGACAUUUAUAAUCUUCCUUACUUGAAAGCCAUUGUGGAAGAAACUCUGCGACUCCAUCCUCCAGCACCAAUCUUACUUCC
rnacentral:lncRNA from 1 species